GUAGGUGGCAAGCGUUGUCCGGAAUUAUUGGGCGUAAAGCGCGCGCAGGCGGUCCUUUAAGUCUGAUGUGAAAGCCCACGGCUCAACCGUGGAGGGUCAUUGGAAACUGGGGGACUUGAGUACAGAAGAGGAAAGCGGAAUUCCAAGUGUAGCGGUGAAAUGCGUAGAGAUUUGGAGGAACACCAGUGGCGAAGGCGGCUUUCUGGUCUGUAACCGACGCUGAGGCGCGAAAGCGUGGGGAGCAAACAGGAUUAGAUACCCUGGUAGUCCACGCCGUAAACGAUGAGUGCUAAGUGUUAGGGGGUUUCCCGCCCCCCUUAGUGCUGCAGCUAACGCAUUAAGCACUCCGCCUGGGGAGUACGGCCGCAAGGCUG
rnacentral:rRNA from 1 species